AGAAAUCUCACCAGGCCCGGACACUGGAAGGAUUGACAGAUUGAUAGCUCUUCCUUGAUUCGGUGGGUGGUGGUGCAUGGCUGUUCUUAGUUGGUGGAGUGAUUUGUCUGGUUAAUUCCGUUAACGAACGAGACCUUAACCUGCUAAAUAGUGACGCGGUUCAUCGAACCGUGGGCCACUUCUUAGAGGGACUAUCGGAUUCAAACCGAUGGAAGUGUGAGGCAAUAA
rnacentral:rRNA from 1 species